GAGCUAGAACAUAUAGUUGGCACGAAGGUACGCCAGGGACAACAGGCCAAAGGUUAAUUACAGAUCUUAUGUAAUUAACCUAUUGACACCUCCAUGUCGUCUCACCAUACC
rnacentral:rRNA from 1 species